rnacentral:rRNA from 1 species
UACGUAGGUGGCAAGCGUUGUCCGGAAUUACUGGGUGUAAAGGGUGCGCAGGCGGGACUGCAAGUUGGAUGUGAAAAUUCGAGGCUUAACCUCGAACCUGCAUCCAAAACUGUAGUUCUUGAGUGAAGUAGAGGUAGGCGGAAUUCCGAGUGUAGCGGUGAAAUGCGUAGAUAUUCGGAGGAACACCAGUGGCGAAGGCGGCCUACUGGGCUUUAACUGACGCUGAGGCACGAAAGCAUGGGGAGCAAAC